rnacentral:rRNA from 1 species
AUUGAACGCUGGCGGCAUGCUUUACACAUGCAAGUCGAACGGUAACAGGCCGCAAGGUGCUGACGAGUGGCGAACGGGUGAGUAAUGCAUCGGAACGUGCCCAGUCGUGGGGGAUAACGCAGCGAAAGCUGCGCUAAUACCGCAUACGAUCUAUGGAUGAAAGCGGGGGACCGUAAGGCCUCGCGCGAUUGGAGCGGCCGAUGUCAGAUUAGGUAGUUGGUGGGGUAAAGGCUCACCAAGCCAACGAUCUGUAGCUGGUCUGAGAGGACGACCAGCCACACUGGGACUGGGGCACGGCCCAGACUCCUACGGGAGGCAGCAGUGGGGAAUUUUGGACAAUGGGCGCAAGCCUGAUCCAGCAAUGCCGCGUGCAGGAAGAAGGCCUUCGGGUUGUAAACUGCUUUUGUACGGAACGAAACGGUCUGGGUUAAUACCUCGGGCUAAUGACGGUACCGUAAGAAUAAGCACCGGCUAACUACGUGCCAGCCGCCGCCGUAAGAC